UACGAGUGGUGCAAGCGUUAUUCGGAGUGAUUGGGCGUAAAGGGUGUGUAGGCGGUACGUUAAGUCAAUUGUUAAAUUCCUCGGCCUAACCGAGGGUCAGCGGUUGAAACUGGCGUGCUAGAGGAUGGAAGAGAGAAGUGGAAUUCUCGGAGUAGCGGUAAAAUGCGUAGAUCUCGAGAGGAACACCGAUGGCGAAGGCAGCUUCUUGGUCCAUUCCUGACGCUGAGGCACGAAAGCGUGGGGAGCAAACAGG
rnacentral:rRNA from 1 species